rnacentral:misc_RNA from 1 species
UUUCCGUAGGUGAACCUGGGGAAGGAUCAUUAAUGAGUUGUCAUGGGGUUCGAUGCUGGCAGCCAGUUUUUGGAUGCAUGUGCUUGCCCUAACAAUCAUCUUCUUCCAGACACCUGUGCACAUUUUUGAGGGAGUCUUGGGUUGGUUGCCGCUCUUGGGUGAUUUUCUCACAUUCCCUUAAAUCAUUAUACGCUAUUAACAAUGUUGAACGUGCUCUGUGCCGCAAGGCCAUUAAUAUAAUACAACUUUUAACAACGGAUCUCUUGGCUCUC